AUUGAACGCUGGCGGCAGGCCUAACACAUGCAAGUCGAGCGGUAGCACAGAGAGCUUGCUCUCGGGUGACGAGCGGCGGACGGGUGAGUAAUGUCUGGGAAACUGCCUGAUGGAGGGGGAUAACUACUGGAAACGGUAGCUAAUACCGCAUAACGUCGCAAGACCAAAGUGGGGGACCUUCGGGCCUCAUGCCAUCAGAUGUGCCCAGAUGGGAUUAGCUGGUAGGUGGGGUAACGGCUCACCUAGGCGACGAUCCCUAGCUGGUCUGAGAGGAUGAACAGCCACACUGGAACUGAGACACGGUACAGACUCCUACGGGAGGCAGCAGUGGGGAAUAUUGCACAAUGGGCGCAAGCCUGAUGCAGCCAUGCCGCGUGUGUGAAGAAGGCCUUCGGGUUGUAAAGCACUUUCAGCGGGGAGGAAGGCGGUGAGGUUAAUAACCUCACUGAUUGACGUUACCCGCAGAAGAAGCACCGGCUAACUCCGUGCCAGCCGCCGCGGUAACAC
rnacentral:rRNA from 1 species